AUGGUGCUCCUGCACCCGAUGGCUGCGGGGUGGACGCGCGCUAUGGGUAUACUCCGGCGACGCGGAACACACUUCCUCUACUCUUCCUUGCGGGGGUGGGGGUGGGGGAUGAAGAUCAAGGAGGAUGAUAAGCAGAAGAAGAAGCCGGCCAGGACGUGCGUCCAGAUCGAGGAGAUCCCCGAGGACAACACCGCCGGCUGCGACGCCAUCCGCAAGGCCUUUGCUAUGGGGAACGGCAAGGGGAAGGCCAAGGAGUUGUCGCCGCAGGAUGCCGCGCUGCUCAUCCAGAUGAACUACAGGCCGCACCUCGCCCACCGCUCCCAGGUGCUCCGCUGCCUGCGUGAUCUCGCCGUCGCCAAGGCCAAGCUCAAGGAGCUCAGGUCCCUCUUCUACAACCUCUCCUACAGGCGCCGCCUCUCGCAUGACCACGAGGAGUGCCAGAGGUUCUCCGAGAAGAUCAUUGUCCUGCUGCUCACUGUCGAUGCGCUCGAGUUACUCAUUAAUUCCUGCAGAAAUAUGCUCGGAAGAACAAGGUUUCGGAACCAGAUUCAUAUUUGCAGGAUAAUAAGGUGUUGUUGCAUAAGUCGAAUGGACCAACUAGCAGGCGCCGUGUUUCCUGAAGUGUUGUGA
rnacentral:rRNA from 1 species